AUUGAACGCUGGCGGCAUGCUUUACACAUGCAAGUCGAACGGUAACAGGCCGCAAGGUGCUGACGAGUGGCGAACGGGUGAGUAAUGCAUCGGAACGUGCCCAGUCGUGGGGGAUAACGCAGCGAAAGCUGCGCUAAUACCGCAUACGAUCUCUGGAUGAAAGCGGGGGACCGAAAGGCCUCGCGCGAUUGGAGCGGCCGAUGUCAGAUUAGGUAGUUGGUGGGGUAAAGGCCCACCAAGCCAACGAUCUGUAGCUGGUCUGAGAGGACGACCAGCCACACUGGGACUGAGACACGGCCCAGACUCCUACGGGAGGCAGCAGUGGGGAAUUUUGGACAAUGGGCGCAAGCCUGAUCCAGCAAUGCCGCGUGCAGGAAGAAGGCCUUCGGGUUGUAAACUGCUUUUGUACGGAACGAAACGGUCCGGGCUAAUACCCUGGGCUAAUGACGGUACCGUAAGAAUAAGCACCGGCUAACUACGUGCCAGCAGCCGCAGUAA
rnacentral:rRNA from 1 species